rnacentral:lncRNA from 1 species
AGCAAAUCUAAAGUCUUGAAACUUUAUCAUCUCUUUAUUUUUAGAUAACCAGUCAGGACAAGACAGCUCAGGUGAUUCAGAGAGCUCUGGAGAAACACAACUUGGAAGAGAUGAGCUGCCAAGAAUUUAGUCUCACACAAGUGCUUUCCAGUGACAAAGAGUUGCUGAUCCCAGACAAAGCCAACGUGUUCUAUGCCAUGCGCACCGCUGCCAACUUUGACUUUGUGCUUCGCCAGCGUUACAAAAAUCUCGGCAGAGCGCCUGGCUCAUCCUGGAGUCAUGGAGCAGUUCGGAGGUCCCGCAAGUAACAGAACCUCGAUGACAACUCACAGCAUAGUGGAAUAAUACAUGAAAAACUUUAAAGUGAACAAAGACUAUAUAACCACAUGGAUGACUGUGAUGAGCGGGUGACUACUGGAUGUCGAAGCUCAGAUAAAUUUAAAACAGACUGAUGGAUGCAUCACUGAGCUCUGAAGCAUCCUGGAGUCACAAGUUAUGACAACAUCUCACUCAGUAAUGUCUCAUUGACAAAUAACAAGGAAACUGUAGCACAGCUGCCACAAUAACAGUUCUGAUUUAAAACCAGUUAAAACUGGAGGAAGAAAGACUCAUUUGAAAUGAAGACCUAGAGAAGUUGCAAUAAUUGGCCACAUCUGCUGCCAGUUUAUUCAGAGGUUUUGCCUUGAAAUGGGAGGUCACACAUAUACCUGAGAUUUACUGAGGAACAUCUGUCUGUAGGUGGAUGAACACAAGUAUGGCUUACAAAUGCAAGCUUUUUAUGUAGCUAAUAUUCAGCGAUAGGUAAAAAGUGAAAUUUAUAUUAUAUUUAGGUUGUUUUCUAAGUGACAUAAUAAAAUGUUAUAUAAUAUAUUUUAUUUAGUUUUAAUACAAUUUUAAUAAAGAUCACAUUAUUUUAAUGUUUUGAUGCAUUUCAGUUUUAGAGUAUUUAAUUUAACUUUUAUGUGUGCUAAUUCAUCUCUUUUUGUUGUUCUGUGUUCUGUAUAGUGCUGUUUUUUCUUCAGCUCUUUCUUUUUAAUUUUUUAGCUGUAUUUAUGUGCAAUAAUCUCAAACCUAUAAGCUGUUUCUUAAUGUUUUAAGACUUUUGGCAACUGUGCCGAAUCUUUGUCUGAAUGAAGGAUGCUUGCACUUCUUUAUCACUUGUUUUUCUCAAGUUGAAUAUGUUAAUUUGUAUUUCUGGUAGUGUCAAAUGAAGUAACUCAUCCAUAUUGGAUAUCUUGUGACUUUCUGAGCAAAUGCAAUUUGGAGAACUGAAGAGCACUGGGUGCACUAGAUGAAUCUCACCGACUGUGUAUGUGUUUUGUGAAAGUUAAAGUAAGUUAGAUCCUGAAGGAUGUGAAAUGUAAGUGCUUGGUGUGUGUGAAAUAGUUUGCUGCUAAAUAGUGGAGCAGGUGUAGUGUUCCUUGGAAGCUACAGCAAGUGUUUUUGGCAAAUUGGAGGGAACCUGAAUCAGCAUUAAAAGCACACUUUUGCUGUUUGCACAGAAAGCCACAAUUCCUGACUGAAAUGUGUCUGUCUUUGUGUCAUUAAAAUGUUAAUUUGGCACUUCUUGUUGUCUGUUUUGCAUUCUUUGAUUUAAAAUAAUACAUCACUUUUUGAUUGUUUAAAAUAUGCUCCCAAAAUAUGUUUUUUAAACUACAUUUCAGAAGUUCUAGUUGCUAUAUAUUUUUUUUUUUAAAUAUAUAAUUUUUAAAUAGAAAUAAGUUUUUUAAAUAUAUCUAAUGCUAUCUUUACACUGAUUAAAUGUUAAAUUUAUCUUAAACAUAAAAGUCUAAAUAAAGAAACAACAUUAUGGAUGGAAAUGCAGAUUGAGAAGGAAUUCCUUAACAUGCAUUUAUCUUGUUACUAUUCACCCUCUCCAUUUCUUAAAAAAGUGUUGUGUACAUAAAAAAAAGAAACUAAAUAAAAUGAAUAAACUAUAAAAGUCCUGUGGGCCAGUGAACAUUAAACAUGCAUGUAUAUAAUUAUAUUAUAUAGUGUGUAUUCCUGAAUUUGUCUUAUAAAAGGUUGAUCUGUGAGAAGAUAAGACAACACUUUAAGUUAUUAACAGUUACAUACAAGUCUUAUGUGGGCUGUUUAUUCAUAUACUUUUUAUCCUACUUUUUUCAGAUUAUAUAAAAACAUUUGAACCCAAUCUUAAUUCAUCUCUAACUUGAAUUGUGAAAUUAAAAUGAAAACUCUUUUAUUCUAGGAACACUCUAGAAGGCCGAAAAAAUCUCACCAGUCAAAUUCAGUCAAAUAUAAUUUUAAUGGUUAUCUUAGUAAUAUGCAAACAUAAAUGUAAAAUAAAAAAGGUAUGAUCAAUAAGUCAUUAAAACAUGUUUUUACAUUUCUUCAAUCAAA